AUUGAACGCUGGCGGCAGGCCUAACACAUGCAAGUCGAACGAGUGGCGGACGGGUGAGUAAUGUCUGGGAAACGGCCUGAUGGAGGGGGAUGACUACUGGAAACGGGAGCUAAUACCGCAUACCAUCGGAUGUGCCCAGGUGGGAUUAGCUAGUAGGUGGGGUAAAGGCUCACCUAGGCGACGAUCCCUAGCUGGUGUGAGAGGAUGCCCAGCCACCCUGGAACUGAGACACGGUCCAGACUCCUCCGGGAGGCAGCAGUGGGGAAUAUUGCGCAAUGGGCGCAAGCCUGAUGCAGCCAUGCCGCGUGUAUGAAGAGGGUCUUCGGGUUGUAAAGUCCUUUCAUCAGGGAGGCGUUACCCGCAGAAGAAGCACCGGCUAACUCCGUGCCAGCAGCCGCGGUAAUUC
rnacentral:rRNA from 1 species